rnacentral:rRNA from 1 species
GCGGCCGCUCCGGUUGAUCCUGGCAGAGGUUACUGCUAUCGAGGUUCGACUAAGCCAUGCGAGCCGAAUGUAGCAAUACAUGGCGUACUGCUCAGUAACACGUGGACAACCUACCCUUAGGUCAGGGAUAAACCCGGGAAACCGGGUAUAAUACCCGAUAGAUCUCGACUGCUGGAAUGCAUCGAGAUCGAAAGCUCCGGCGCCUAAGGAUGGGUCUGCGGCCUAUCAGGUAGUAGUGGGUGUAGCGUACCUACUAGGCCUACGACGGGUACGGGUUGUGAGAGCAAGAGCCCGGAGAUGGAUUCUGAGACACGAAUCCCAGGCCCUACGGGGUGCAGCAGGCGCGAAAACUUUACAAUGCUGGAAACAGCGAUAAGGGGACCUCGAGUGCCAGGUUACAAAUCUGGCUGUCGUGAUGCCUAAAAAGCAUUGCAUAGCAAGGGCCGGGCAAGACCGGUGCCAGCCGCCGCGGUAACACCGGCGGCUCGAGUGGUGACCGUUAUUAUUGGGUCUAAAGGGUCUGUAGCCGGCCGGAUAAGUCUCUUGGGAAAUCCAGCAGCUCAACUGUUGGGCUUUCAGGAGAUACUGUCUGGCUCGAGGCCGGGAGAGGUGAGAGGUACUUCAGGGGUAGGGGUGAAAUCUUGUAAUCCUUGAAGGACCACCAGUGGCGAAGGCGUCUCACCAGAACGGACCUGACGGCAAGGGACGAGAGCUAGGGGCACGGACCGGAUUAGAUACCCGGGUAGUCCUAGCCGUAAACGAUACUCGCUAGGUGUCAGCCACGGUGCGACCGUGGUUGGUGCCGUAGGGAAGCCGUGAAGCGAGCCACCUGGGAAGUACGGCCGCAAGGCUGAAACUUAGAGGAAUUGGCGGGGGAGCUCUACAACGGGUGGAGCCUGCGGUUUAAUUGGAUUCAACGCCGGGAAGCUUACCGGGAUCGACAGCGAUAUGAAGGCCAGGCUGGAGACCUUGCCGGAUUAGCUGAGAGAUGGUGCAUGGCCGUCGUCAGUUCGUACUGCGAAGCAUCCUGUUAAGUCAGGCAACGAGCGAGACCC